CCAAUAGCGUAUAUUAAAGUUGCUGCAGUUAAAAAGCUCGUAGUUGAAUUUCGGGACCAUCAUGUCGGUCGUGCCUCGGUACGUACUGGUAUUGUUGGUUUCUCCCUUCUGACGAACCAUGAUGUCAUUUAUUUGGUGUUGUGGGGAAUCCAGGACUGUUACUUUGAAAAAAAUUAGAGUGUUUAAAGCAGGCUCACGCUUGAAUACAUUAGCAUGGAAUAAUGAAAUAGGACGUUUGAUUCUAUUUUGUUGGUUUCUAGGAUCGACGUAAUGAUUAAUAGGGAUAGUUGGGGGCAUUAGUAUUCAAUUGUCAGAGGUGAAAUUCUUGGAUUUAUUGAAGACUAACUACUGCGAAAGCAUUUGCCAAGGAUGUUUUCAUUAAUCAAGAACGAAAGUUAGGGGAUCGAAGACGAUCAGAUACCGUCGUAGUCUUAACCAUAAACUAUGCCGACUAGGAAUCAGACGAUGUUAAUUUUUUAAUGACUCGUUUGGCACCUUACG
rnacentral:rRNA from 1 species